UGGGGAAUAUUGGACAAUGGGCGGAAGCCUGAUCCAGCCAUGCCGCGUGUGUGAAGAAGGCCUUUUGGUUGUAAAGCACUUUAAGCGAGGAGGAGGCUACUUGGAUUAAUACUCUAGGAUAGUGGACGUUACUCGCAGAAUAAGCACCGGCUAACUCUGUGCCAGCAGCCGCGGUAAUACAGAGGGUGCGAGCGUUAAUCGGAUUUACUGGGAGUAAAGCGUGCGUAGGCGGCUUCUUAAGUCGGAUGUGAAAUCCCUGAGCUUAACUUAGGAAUUGCAUUCGAUACUGGGAAGCUAGAGUAUGGGAGAGGAUGGUAGAAUUCCAGGUGUAGCGGUGAAAUGCGUAGAGAUCUGGAGGAAUACCGAUGGCGAAGGCAGCCAUCUGGCCUAAUACUGACGCUGAGGUACGAAAGCAUGGGGAGCAAACAGG
rnacentral:rRNA from 1 species